rnacentral:ncRNA from 1 species
AAGUCGAGCGGACCUGAUGGAGUGCUUGCACUCCUGAUGGUUAGCGGCGGACGGGUGAGUAACACGUAGGCAACCUGCCCGUAAGACCGGGAUAACUACCGGAAACGGUAGCUAAUACCGGAUAAUCAAGUCUCUCGCAUGGGAGGCUUGGGAAAGGCGGAGUAAUCUGUCACUUACGGAUGGGCCUGCGGCGCAUUAGCUAGUUGGUGGGGUAACGGCUCACCAAGGCGACGAUGCGUAGCCGACCUGAGAGGGUGAACGGCCACACUGGGACUGAGACACGGCCCAGACNNNN